rnacentral:rRNA from 1 species
UUGCUCUUCAACGAGGAAUGCCUAGUAAGCGCGUGUCAUCAGCAUGCGUUGAUUACGUCCCUGCCCUUUGUACACACCGCCCGUCGCUACUACCGAUUGAAUGGCUCAGUGAGGCCUUCGGACUGGCUUGGGGAGGUUGGCAACGACCACCCUGAGCCGGAAAGUUCGUCAAACUCGGUCAUUUAGAGGAAGUAAAAGUCGUAACAAGGUUUCCGUAGGUGAACCUGCGGAAGGAUCAUUACCUUUCAGUACAGAAGCGUUGUGUUGGUUGAGUUGUGCCGGUUGAGUCUCGCUGACAAGUGGGAUUCCUGGUGGCAACUCCCUUCAUAAUUCUCCCUGUCUAUCAUCCUUGUCUUUUGCGUACUAUUGUUUCCUCGGUGGGCUUGCCCACCGGUUGGACAACCUUAUAACCUAUUUAAUUUUCAAUCAGCGUCUGAAAUAAUAUAAUAAUUACAACUUUCAACAACGGAUCUCUUGGUUCUGGCAUCGAUGAAGAACGCAGCGAAAUGCGAUAAGUAGUGUGAAUUGCAGAAUUCAGUGAAUCAUCGAAUCUUUGAACGCACAUUGCGCCCCUUGGUAUUCCAUGGGGCAUGCCUGUUCGAGCGUCAUUUGUACCCUCAAGCUUUGCUUGGUGUUGGGUGUUUGUCUUUUCCACGCGAUCAGACUCGCCUUAAAAUAAUUGGCAGCCAGUGUUUUGGUUUUGAAGCGCAGCACAAGUCGCGAUUCAGCUUAUAUCACUAGUUUCCAUUAAGCAUUUUAUCACUUUUGACCUCGGAUCAGGUAGGGAUACCCGCUGAACUUAAGCAUAUCAAUAAGCGGAGGA